UAAAAUUGAGGUGUGUGCUAUGAUUUGGAGGUGCAGCACGUGGAGGAACUGCUGCCAUGUCACAGCCCAUGUGAGAAUUAGGUCCUGCAGAGUACGUGAAGGGGAGGAGCAUCUUGGUUAAAUAAAACAGUAGCCGCCACUUGCUCUCUGGUGCUAGGCGUCUUUGAGAGGAAUUUUUUUUUGGGAUUGGGGAAGAGACAAUGGAGGGUACGG
rnacentral:lncRNA from 1 species